UGGGGAAUAUUGCACAAUGGAGGGAACUCUGAUGCAGCGACGCCGCGUGAACGAAGAAGGCUUUCGAGUCGUAAAGUUCUUUUUUAUGGGAAGAUAAUGACGGUACCAUAAGAAGAAGCCCCGGCUAACUACGUGCCAGCAGCCGCGGUAAUACGUAGGGGGCUAGCGUUGUCCGGAAUCACUGGGCGUAAAGGGUUCGCAGGCGGAAAUGCAAGUCAGGUGUAAAAGGCAGUAGCUUAACUACUGUAAGCAUUUGAAACUGCAUAUCUUGAGAAGAGUAGAGGUAAGUGGAAUUUUUAGUGUAGCGGUGAAAUGCGUAGAUAUUAAAAAGAAUACCGGUGGCGAAGGCGACUUACUGGGCUCAUUCUGACGCUGAGGAACGAAAGCGUGGGUAGCAAACAGG
rnacentral:rRNA from 1 species